GAGGGAUCAACGUUAAUCGGAAUUACUGGGCGUAAAGCGCGCGUAGGCGGUUUUUUAAGUGGGAUGUGAAAGCCCCGGGCUUAACCUGGGAACUGCAUUCCAAACUGGAGAACUAGAGUACGAUAGAGGGGGGUAGAAUUCAGAGUGUAGCGGUGAAAUGCGUAGAUAUUCUGAGGAAUACCGGUGGCGAAGGCGGCCCCCUGGAUUGAUACUGACACUGAGGUGCGAAAGCGUGGGGAGCAAACAGGAUUAGAUACCCUGGUAGUCCACGCCGUAAACGAUGUCUACUAGCCGUUGGGAGGCUUGACCUCUUAGUGGCGCAGCUAACGCGAUAAGUAGACCGCCUGGGGAGUACGGUCGCAAGAUUAAAACUCAAAUGAAUUGACGGGGGCCCGCACAAGCGGUGGAGCAUGUGGUUUAAUUCGAUGCAACGCGAAAAACCUUACCAGGCCUUGACAUCCUGAGAAUUCGGUAGAGAUACCUUAGUGCCUUCGGGAACUCAGUGACAGGUGUUGCAUGGCUGUCGUCAGCUCGUGUCGUGAGAUGUUGGGUUAAGUCCCGUAACGAGCGCAACCCUUAUCCUUAUUUGCCAGCACUUCGGGUGGGAACUUUAAGGAGACUGCCGGUGUCAAACCGGAGGAAGGAGAGGAUGACGUCAAGUCAUCAUGGCCCUUACGGCCUGGGCUACACACGUGCUACAAUGGACAGUACAGAGGGCCGCAAUACCGCGAGGUGGAGCAAAUCCCAGAAAACUGUUCGUAGUCCGGAUCGGAGUCUGCAACUCGACUCCGUGAAGUCGGAAUCGCUAGUAAUCGCGAAUCAGCAUGUCGCGGUGAAUACGUUCCCGGGCCUUGUACACACCGCCCGUCACGUCAUGGGAGUGGGCUGCAAAAGAAGUGACUAGUCUAACCUUCGGGAGGACGGUCACCACUUUGUGGUUCAUGACUGGGAUGAAGUCGUAACAAGGUAGCCGUAGGGGAACCUGCGGCUGGAUCACCUCCUUAACUUAUGGUAUUCACUGAUAAGUACUCACAACCUAUUACAUGUUUCCGAUUUUGAUCAGUGAUCAGAAGUCAGAAGACCCGACAGUUUACGUUUUACUGUUAUGAGAUUAAGUUUUACUCAUCGUCUUCUGACUUCUGGUAUUUGAUACCAGAGAAUCUACUGUUAGUAGUCCUAACAUUAGCUCUUUAAAAAAGUAGAAAGUGAUAAAGAAGUCUGUAAAGACAUCCGCAAAUUAGAUUUUGUUUUUGAGUUUAACUGGUGUACCUCAAACGCACAUCCGUUAGACGCUAGAUAGAACAGAGUCACAUUUGUAGAAAUUAUAUAUGUACGAAUAUUUCAAGCGUAUUUAUCCGGUGCAUAUAACUUACGUUUAGGGUGCAAGCCUUAAGCAGCACAACGAUUAGUGUGUUCAAGUUAUAUGAUCAAGUGAAUAAGCGCAUAUGGUGGAUGCCUAGGCAGUUGGAGGCGAUGAAGGACGUUGUAGUCUGCGAAAAGCUCGGGGGAGCUGACAAACAAGUGUUAUAUCCCGAGAUGU
rnacentral:sRNA from 1 species